ensembl:lncRNA
UUUUUUUUUUUUUCCCCCAGUAGGACAAUUUAACAAUGGAAAUCUUGCCAAGAUGACGGAUGGGCAAGUCAUGAGCCUAAAGGGAAUGCCAGGUAUGAGACAGUUUGGCAUAUUUAGCCAAGCAAGUACUCAAAAAUGUAUUUUUGUAAAGAUGGAUGGGGAGAUAAGAGGAAUAUUACACAGAAUGAUAGUUUGUACUACAAAGAGAUAGUGUGCUUUUCUUGUGCCAUCUGUGACACAACAUCAAAUGUCCAAACUCCUGCUUUCUGAGAAGAGUCUGAAAAGUCUGCCUGAGAGGCCUUCUGGUGUACAAUUUACACUCUUAUUAUCUUAAAAACAGAAAGAGAGAGAGAGAAAUGCAGAAAAAAAUCAAAAUACAUCUCCUAGGUUCAAAAGCAUCAUAGAAAUCUGGCUUUCGGGAGUUCCCGUUGUGGUGCCAUGGAAACAAAUCUGACUAGGGACCGUGAGGUUUUGGGUUCGAUCCCUGGCCUCACUCAGUGGCGGGAACUCCUAUAUUCUGACUUCAGAUCUACCUACACUAUCCCAGAGGCACCUGCCACAGGGCAAGUCUGUGGUCAGGCAAUGGGAGGUUGUGGGCUGAAACCUACAUUUAGAAGGACCACAGCCCAUGGAUUUGGAAUCCUACAACCACAAAGACGCAGACCUGGCCAACCGGCCUCCCAAUCUAGCAUAAGGAUCUGUUGGGUAGAUAGUAGGAAGGAAUUUCCUGGGAGGCAAGAAAUUCCCUUAUCAAUCAUUAUAUUACUGAUCAGCCUCCACAUUUUCGGAUGUCGUAAUUUAAUCACUCUAUCAAUGAAAAGCCAUCUCAGCGUUACACUUCUGUUGCUUUCUCAGCAUUACAGGCAAAAAUUUCACAGACCAAGUUCUUUUGGUUUAUUUUGUACUCAUUUUUUAGCAAAUCUACACCCAUUCAAAUGGGAAAUGGAAAAAAAAACAAAAACAAACCCUGUGCUUUUCAGUGUGACACAGACUGUAAGAUAUCAGCACCUCAUGUUAUAAGUGCUAUGUCCAAUAUCCUGCAGGUGACAUCUUCAAAGAUUUGACUCCUGAAGAGUCAAACUCCAAACUGGUACACAAUCAGGGUUUCCUCUCCUGGGCUUUGAAUGACACUGACAGUAGAAAACAGGACUUCCAGCAGCAACUGAGAGCACUGCUGAACCCAAAGAUUGGUAGGCUUGUGUUAAAUAAAUAAAAGUCUAAUAAAAUGGCAAAAGAAUAGAAAUUCAUUGUCAUUAUCAAAAGAAUGCAUUGCUAUGCUUAAGGCUUCAGCCCCUCAGCAGGUAGGGUGUAACUUCUUCACACAAGUCAACAUGGACUAAAAUCAUUUUUUAAAAAACAGACAGGGUCUCAAACAUCAAAAGAUUUGUAUCAGGGAGUUCCUAUCACGCAUGGCUCAGCGAGAAUGAAUCUGACUAAUACCCAUGAGGACGCAUGCUUGAUCUCUGGCCUCGAUCGGUGGGGUUCAGGAUCUGGUGUGGCUGUGGCUUUGGCUGUGGCUGUAGCUCCAAUUCGACCCCUAGCCUGGGAACCUCCAAAUGCCACGGGUGUGCCCUACAAAAAGACCACACACACAAAAAGAUAUGUAUCAAAGAGAAACACUUGCACAAGCAUCUAUGUACAAAGAAGGUCCUUACAGAAAUGUGUGUCACAGCGAAAUAAUGUCCUCAAGCAGAGGACUGGUUCCAUGGAUUACAGUGCACACAUGGGUUCUGGUGCCACAUGGCCUGGGUUUAAAUGCUGGUUCUGCCACAUACUGUGUGGCCUUGGGCGAAUUACUUAAUCUCUAUGAAUCUUGGUUUCCUCAUCUGUAUGUACAGGUCUUAGUACAAUAGCUGACACAGAAUAAGAGUUCGACCAAUGUGAGCAAUCAUUAUCAUACAAUGUCACUACUGUGCUAUGUGGCCAUUACAAAAGGAUAGACCUGGCUCUUUUAGCAUGUAAAGGUGACCUUGCAUCAUUGUUGCAAGCUGGAGAUGAGUACAAGUUGCAUAUAGCUCAGCAUGUGUGCACAGGCAUGUGUGUGUGUGUGUGUGUGUGUACACGCACAUAAGCAGCAUAUACCUUGGCACGUGUGCACACGCCUGUGUGUGUGUGUGUAUGUGUGUGUACACACACACCCACAUGUGGAAGGGCUGCAGGGAUACACCCCAGAUUGUUACAUGGAUCCCCCUGGAAGAAGACACGUGGCCGGCCGAUGGCAGGCUUUCCUUUCUACCCUUGCCAUGGUGCCAGGGUGAUCCGACAACAUUAAAUAGCAGUCCUAACAACCUGAACUCUAAAUUGCCUCAUCUAAAUUUUAAUUCUGUGAAGAAUUUUCCAUUUCUUCUUUUUCACAUCAGGACAGUAGAAUGGGAUUGAGCAAGAGUGAGGUCACUCGUUAGCUCGUGAAUUUUUAGAGCAGCAAUAAAGUACACUGCUCAGCUUCUCUACCAAGCCAAUGUCUAAACUUCCCAGCCAGGGUCGCCUCUCCAGCUAGGACACAGGCAGACCUUUGUUCCUCUCAGAUUCACUGGGUAAUGGUCUUGGAUUGAGACUCUUUGGUGAAUGAAAACAACUAAGAGACACAAGUGAUGGGAAUUAAAGAAGCAUCUACUUCAAAAGCAAACUCUUGCUAAUCAGUGAUGGGAGUCUCAAGAAAUGAUAUGCUGAAGUACUGAUGGGAAGCUUUUUAGAGUAAAAUUAGCAAUUAGAAAAUAGAAUAUUAGCUAAUACGGCAAGCUCUAACUGAUAAAUCAAAUGUGUCUUGUUACUAUAUUAUGGAAUGAGAUAUGAUAAGAGAAUACUGGCUGUCUGAAAAUGACCAAGUGAAGCUGUCUGAAUCAUUUUCCUCGCCACCCCCUGUGCCCAGUUUUCACCAGAAAGGGGUCAUGCUUUGUCAUUUUUCCAAAGUCAUUGCUAUUUUGGAAUGAUCCAGAAAAGAGGAUACGUGUUUUGUUCUUUUCAGUGUCUAAGAUGAUGCUGAGAAUGAACUGCUUCACUUGGGGUUCUUGUCUUGCUUGGAAAAUGAAGCUGUAGCUUUCAUGUUAAGACAAAGAGAAGCAGGUAACAGAAGAAAAGAGAGAUCACGGCUCAGGAGUUAAACUGCAUGAGUUCAAACUGGCUCUCCACUUUUCAAUUAUGUUAGGCAAGUUAUAUAGCCUCUCUGGAGCUACGUUUCUUCAUCAUGUAAAUGAGGAUACUACUAGAAUCCCCUUCACCGGAUUGUCAACUGGAUCAUAUGAAUUAAUACAUAUAAAGUGCUUUAAAACAAUGCCUGGUUCUUGGUACAACCUAGUAGCUGCUGGUUAUUAUUUCAGAGAGAUCUUUGUGGAUGGUAAAUACUGAUCAUUUAGUGAAACUAAAUAGAGAAUAAUGACAGAUUGACUUCUUCAAAUUGCUAUAUGAUUACCAUUCUAUUAGGUGGGAGGAGAUAACAUAAGAAAUUACAGAAAUCAUCAAAUUUAGAGUCGAAUGUCUUGGCCAGGUCAUCUAGGAAUGAACUUGAGCUAAAAUUGGGUCCCACUCCCAGACGAAACUAAACAGGGAAGCACUUGCCAGGGAAGGAACCUCGUUACACAUAAAAGCUUUUUUUCUAUAUGCUUCUAGCAGUGGUGUUUUAUGACUCUAUUAUAUGAGGUCCUCAUCGGAAAUCACAUAAACAGAGAAAGGAUCAUUGGCAACAUACUAAAUAGAUCAUACUAAGCAAUUCUGGUGGCAAAUUAGCUACCUGCCAAGAAAAGAGGGAGUGAGAGCUUAAUCAGACCAUUGUGGGGUCUUAUUAAUAUAUUUAUUAUAUAUAAAAUAUUGAGAUCUGGAACUGAGUGAAGAAUUAAUGGGGGAAAUUCGUUGUUAUAACAGAAAUGAUACUGACCUCUGGAAAUAAACAUUAUUUCAGGUUAAAAAGAUGUUGUUAUGCAAGACGAUGAUUUCAAAAGGCUUUGCUGCUAUGAACAUAAAAUCAGGUCAUUUUCAUUCCAGCCCCAACACAGUCUGCAAGGACUAAACUGACAUCAGCCAUCUUAAUUCAGAAACAAUAUUUCGGUUACAGAGAGCAGUGAUCACCACCCUGCCUUUGUUCAAAAUCUCUGAAACAAAAGGGAUAUUUUCUAUAAUUGCAUGAAUUACACAGGCUCUCAAGUUAGGUGAAAAAGACUCUUUCACUCUAGCAGCAACGUGCAAUUUUGUGGCUGCAAUUUUACGAAACUGCUUAAUGAAACUCGCUCCUUUUUAUUGGAAAAAAUAAGCUCCAAACCCAAUAGCUCCAAAGCCGAUGCCCAGGUAACAUCAUUCUACUGAUCAGGGCAUGAAGUAUUAAUAAUUAACUGUUGGUCGGGCGCACUGAGUGAGCACUUUUCUCCCACAGGACAGUUCCCUGUCAAGAUGUCACCCAGAAAUAACCCUUUAGAUUCCAGGAAGGGGCUGCAGUGCCCCACAGGGCAUCUCAUAACCACAGACAUCGUCAGUUUCAGUACCUGCCACGAUCAGCUCAUCCCACACCCAGAACUGCCUCAUCGCCUCCUUCCUGACUCGCAUCGCUCCCACGCACGGCAAUAAUGGACAGCACAUGCCUUUCUGAGGAUCCCCUGUCACCAGCUGCCUGCCCCGGCACUGAACAAUGUACAAGUAGAAGAGAGAUGACAACCAGAUGGAAGCGGGAGGGAGGGUUUCUAUCCACCCAAGCCCAGGCUCUGCUCCUGAGUCACUGGGCAAGCAGUUCCAGCCCUUCGACCUCUCGGCAAAGAGGGGAUCAUAAAACUUGCUGCCUUUGCACUGAAAUGCUGGGAGUCCUAAUUAAUCAGGUCUGCAUGGUUUCUAGUACCUUCUGUACUGAUACUUGCUUUCUGCGCUCUGAGAUUAAAAAUAUGUACAGUGGGGUAACCAUUAAAUCACCCCUCAGUUUUAGGGAUCCACGGUCAGGUGUAACGGCAUCCUUAGUUUCUCAUUCCAAACACAUGUAAAGACUAACUACUGUAUUGGAGUUCCUGAUUUAAAAAAAAAAAAAAAAAGUAGUUCCCCUUGUGGCUCAGUGGAGUCCAUCUAGGAACCAUGAGGGUGUGGGUUCCAUCCCUGGCCUUGCUCAGUGGGUUAAGGAUCCACUGUUGCCGUGAGCCGUGGUGUAGGUCGUAGACGCGACUCAGAUCUGGUUUUGCUGUGGCUCUGGUGCCGGCAGGCAGCUACGGCUCCAAUUAGACCCCUAGCCUGGGAACCUCCAUAUGCCAUGGGUGCAGCCCUAAAAAGACAAAAAAAAGAAAAAAGAAAAAAAAGAAGAAGAAGAAGAAGCUAUGGAUUUGGAGAGUCUGAAAGACCCAAGUCUGACUUCAAGUCGUAGCUCUACUACUUAUUAGCCAUGGACGUAAGCCUGGGCAAGUCCACAAACUACUCUGAGCUUCAGUUCCCUCAUCUGCAAAUAAUUAAUAAUAGCAGCAGUAGCACUAAUAAUAAAUAAAGAUAAUGCACACUCGAGAGGGUCACUGCAAGUUGACAUACAACUACCAUCCAAACUCUCAAUGAGUCGCCUGAGCAUGUAUCACCUAGAGAUGAAAAUGUAUGUUUCUGCAAAAACCUGCACAUGAAUUUUAUAGCAACUGUAUUUGUAAUAGCCAGAAACUGGAAGCAAUGCAGAUGUCCUUCUUUGGGGUGACACGUUAAACGGGGGUAUAUCCAUACCAUGGAAUACGACGUCAUUAAUACACCAGGAAGAAAAAGAUGGAUAGACACAACCACCUUGGAUGGAUCGUCAAAGAGUUAUGUUGAGUGAAAAAAAACAGUUCAAAAGGUGACAUAGUCUCUGUUUCUAUUUACACGAUUUGACAUUUAUACAUUUUCUGGAAAUGAUAAAAUUAUAGAAAUGGAGUAGAGAUUAGGGGUUGUUUGGGUUAAAGAUGGGUGAAGGUGGAAAGAAAAUGGAUGUAACCAUAAAAUUGCAACAUUCAAGGGAUUCUCUUGGCGAUGAAAUGCUGUCUCUUGACUGCAGCAAAGUCAGUGUUCUAGUUGUGACACUAUAGUUUUGCAGGAUGUUACCCCUGGAGGAAACUGGGUAACAGAAACAGAGAUUCCUCUGUAUUAUUUACUUAUGUACUUAAUUUUUUCCCCCUUUUUUGGCUGCCCCCAUGGCACAUAGAAACUUCCCAGGCCAGGGAAUGAACCUGAGUUGUAUGUGUGGCCCACACCACAGCUGUGGCAAUGCCAGAUCCUUAACUCACUGUGUGGAGCCGGGGAUCAAACUGGCAAUGCCCAGAGAUAAGCCAGAUCAUUAACCUACUACGCCAGAGUGGAAACGCCUCUCUGUAUUAUUAAUGACAACUGCAUCUGAAUCUACAACUAUUUCAAAAGAAAAGGUUUAGUUAAAAGAAAAUUUUAGGGGCACGGACUGGGAGUUUGGAGCUAGCAGAUGCAAACUAUUCCAUUUAGGAUGGAUAAGCAAUGAGGUCC